UACGGGGGGAGCAAGCGUUGUUCGGAUUUACUGGGCGUAAAGGGCGCGUAGGCGGCCUCUGCAAGUCGACUGUGAAAUCUCCGGGCUUAACCCGGAACGGUCAGCCGAUACUGCAGGGCUAGAGUGCAGAAGGGGCAACUGGAAUUCUCGGUGUAGCGGUGAAAUGCGUAGAUAUCGAGCGGAACACCAGUGGCGAAGGCGAGUUCCUGGACAAGACCUGACGCUGAGGCACGAAAGCCAGGGGAGCAAACAGG
rnacentral:rRNA from 1 species